UUAAGUUCACUUGUGUGCCAUGCCUAACAUGCUUGCUAUCCCUCUAUAGUAGGUUGUGUGAUGUAUAGUUAAAUAACUCUAGGUGCCGAUGUCUUGCAUGAUCUUAUGUUUGCCUUGAAUGCUAUUAUGUGAUGCAUCUCAUAUUACCAUUCUUCAUAUUCAUGCUCUUGCAUCUUGCAUCUCAUCUAGAUAUGCUAGAUAAACCACAUGAAGGAUGUGAUUAUGGAACCGAACCCGAAGACGGUGUAUGGUGGACCUAUCCCGAAGAUGGAAG
rnacentral:lncRNA from 1 species